AACGAACGCUGGCGGCAUGCCUAACACAUGCAAGUCGAACGAGACCUUCGGGUCUAGUGGCGCACGGGUGCGUAACGCGUGGGAACCUGCCCUUAGGUUCGGAAUAACUCCCCGAAAGGGGUGCUAAUACCGGAUAAUGUCUUCGGACCAAAGAUUUAUCGCCUUUGGAUGGGCCCGCGUUGGAUUAGCUAGUUGGUAGGGUAAAAGCCUACCAAGGCGAGGAUCCAUAGCUGGUCUGAGAGGAUGGUCCGCCACACUGGGACUGGGACACGGCCCAGACUCCUACGGGAGGCAGCAGUGGGGAAUAUUGGACUAUGGGCGAAAGCCUGAUCCAGCAAGGCCGCGAGAGUGAUGAAGGCCUUAGGGUUAUAAAGCUCUUUUACCCGGGAUGAUAAUGACAGUACCGAAAGAAUAAGCUCCGGCUAACUCCGUG
rnacentral:rRNA from 1 species